ensembl:lncRNA
GCGGACCAGUUCCUGGAGCAGAGCCUGUCCUACCUGCGGAGCCCCCAGGAGCCCCUGCAAGAGGCGGCCGUCAGGUUCAUUGGGCUUGCUGGGCAGCACUUGAGAGAUGGCCGUGAGGAGAAGCUGAACAACGCCAUCGAGGCCCUGAGAAGUUUGGAGCGUACCGGCAGCUCCUCCGCUUCCACCCUGGUGGCUGAAACCAUCCAGCUCCUGAGAACACUCCUUGGAGUCAGCCCUCUUCGCUACCGGCUCAGCAGCAUGUGGGAGAGGAGGCUGCACUCCCUAAGAGCUGGCUGGUUGCGCUGCUGCAGCUGUGCUCAGGGCUGACCCCAGCUCCAGCCCUGUGGCCCUGC